UACGGAGGGUGCAAGCGUUAAUCGGAUUUACUGGGCGUAAAGCGUGCGUAGGCGGCUUUUUAAGUCGGAUGUGAAAUCCCCGAGCUUAACUUGGGAAUUGCAUUCGAUACUGCGUGGCUAGAGUUUGGUAGAGGUAAGUGGAAUUCCAGGUGUAGCGGUGAAAUGCGUAGAGAUCUGGAGGAAUACCGAUGGCGAAGGCAGCCAUCUGGCCUAAUACUGACGCUGAGGUACGAAAGCAUGGGGAGCAAACAGG
rnacentral:misc_RNA from 1 species